rnacentral:rRNA from 1 species
GAUGAACGCUGGCGGCGUGCCUAAUGCAUGCAAGUCGGACGCAUCGCCUUCGGGUGAUGAGUGGCGGACGGCUGAGGAACACGUGGGUAACCUGCCCUUCUGUGGGGGAUAACGGGCCGAAAGGUCCGCUAAUCCCGCAUACGCUCUCGUACGAGAGGAAAGUCGCAAGACGCGGAGGGAGGGGCCUGCGGCCCAUCAGGUAGUUGGCGGGGUAACGGCCCACCAAGCCAAUGACGGGUCCCUGGUCUGAGAGGACGACCAGGCAGACUGGGACUGAGACACGGCCCAGACUCCUACGGGAGGCAGCAGCAAGGAAUUUUCGGCAAUGGGCGAAAGCCUGACCGAGCAACGCCGCGUGGAGGAUGACGGCUUUCGGGUUGUAAACUCCUUUUGGGUGGGACGAUAAUGACGGUACCACUUGAAUAAGCCCCGGCUAACUCCGUGCCAGCAGCCGCCGUAAAAC